GACGAACGCUGGCGGCGUGCUUAACACAUGCAAGUCGAACGAUGAAGCGGUGCUUGCACCGUGGAUUAGUGGCGAACGGGUGAGUAAUACGUGAGUGACCUACCUUUGACUCUGGGAUAAGCCUGGGAAACUGGGUCUAAUACCGGAUACGACCAAUCUCUGCACGGGGUGUUGGUGGAAAGCGUUAUGGAGUGGUUUUAGAUGGGCUCACGGCCUAUCAGCUUGUUGGUGAGGUAAUGGCUUACCAAGGCGACGACGGGUAGCCGGCCUGAGAGGGUGACCGGCCACACUGGGACUGAGACACGGCCCAGACUCCUACGGGAGGCAGCAGUGGGGAAUAUUGCACAAUGGGCGCAAGCCUGAUGCAGCGACGCCGCGUGAGGGAUGACGGCCUUCGGGUUGUAAACCUCUGUUAGCAUCGAAGAAGCGAAAGUGACGGUAGGUGCAGAGAAAGCGCCGGCUAACUACGUG
rnacentral:rRNA from 1 species